ensembl:lncRNA
CGGUGCUCCGCGACCUCCGCGUCGGCUCCGCGCUGCUGCGCCGCGCUGGGCUGAAAGGAGCGGGCGUCGCUUUAAGACAAACGGAAAAGCGGAAGAGAAAACCGGUUUUGCUCAAUUGAUACCGUUUGCUUUCUUUCUUUCUUUCUUUUUUUUUUAACCCCGCUUUUAUAUAUAUAUAUAUAAUAAUUAGGAUUAUUUUCGAGAACCAUUUGUUUCAAAGCCCGCUUGAGCCAAUAGCAGCCGGCGAGGUGGGGCGCGGACCUUUCCUCUGUCGACCCCCCCGAGCUGUUUGCAAACGGAGCUCUCGGUGUCUGCGCAUCUCCCCGCCGCUGAGCGGAGGGUCACGGCCCUGCCCCCGCUCCGUGCCACCGGCACCUCCCGAAGAAAAGAACGGCAAUUAACAACAAAAAAAAAAAAUAACAAAACCAAAACGAGAACCGCUCUCCGUAAGCCCCAUUACGAGAAAUGAAAGGCAGGAAAGGUCCCCGCGCGGUGACCGAGCGGCGCGUUCCCACGCGUCACGCACGGCUCGCUGACAGCCCGAGGUGCGGCUCUGCAGCAAAAUCGCGGCGUCACAGCGGUACACUCAACGUGAAGAUUUCGACGGGGAUGGUAACGAGAACGAUAAGCAUCGUCAUAAAUAGCGACGGUCCGAAUAAAUCCACAUCUUCCCGGCCGUGCCCUCCCGCAGCCUCGGCGCCGUCCGCGGCUCAGUGCUACGCGGGGCCGAAGGGAGAGACUUUUUUUUCCUUUCCUUUUUUUUUUUUUUUUUUUUUUAAUCUUUAUAUUUUAAUACAAGAAACGAACGCAACGAGCCCAGGAUUUUGUUAUUAUUUCUAUUCCUCUUUUUUCUGUUCUUUUCCCUCCCCAUCGAAUGCGUCGCUGCUCGAGGACGAGCGGUCAGAACGCCGCGGACGGCCGCACGGUGCAGCAGGUUGCGGGGAGCGGCCCCGACGACCGACGCGAGGAGCAGAAGAGCGCUCCCAAAUGAGGCUCCCGUCAAUGGGAAAACUUAGCGCUCCUAAUGAAGUUUCUGGUGAAAGGAGCGCGACACAAAGCCACCGCGGCAUGAAUCAUUCAUGGGAAAUAUAAAAGAUAAAAGCCGUCGGACAAUGGGCAGCGCCCCGCAUGGAGCGCGCAACGCGUUUCCCUUCCCCGCGUCCCCACGUCCCCGUGUCUGUCCUGCGCCGACCCGCGCCGUCCCCGGCCCCGCACCCAAAGGCGCU